rnacentral:rRNA from 1 species
CACGUAGGGCGCAAGCGUUGUCCGGAAUUAUUGGGCGUAAAGAGCUCGUAGGCGGUCUGUUGCGUCCGCUGUGAAAACUCGGGGCUUAACCCCGAGCCUGCAGUGGGUACGGGCAGACUAGAGUGUGGUAGGGGAGAUCGGAAUUCCUGGUGUAGCGGUGGAAUGCGCAGAUAUCAGGAGGAACACCGGUGGCGAAGGCGGAUCUCUGGGCCAUAACUGACGCUGAGGAGCGAAAGCGUGGGGAGCGAACAGG